GACCUCUCCGGUGGCCUAGUGGUUAGAGCGUCCGCCUCGGAUGCGGGAGGUCUUGGGUUUGAGCCCCGGACGAGUCA